rnacentral:rRNA from 1 species
UGGGGAAUAUUGCACAAUGGGGGAAACCCUGAUGCAGCGACGCCGCGUGAGCGAAGAAGGUUUUCGAAUCGUAAAGCUCUGUCCUAUGGGAAGAUAAUGGCGGUACCAUAGGAGGAAGCCCCGGCUAACUACGUGCCAGCAGCCGCGGUAAUACGUAGGGGGCAAGCGUUGUCCGGAAUCACUGGGCGUAAAGGGUUCGCAGGCGGAAUUGCAAGUCAGUUGUGAAAGGCAGAGGCUCAACCUCUGUAAGCAAUUGAAACUGUAUUUCUUGAGAUGUGGAGAGGCAAGUGGAAUUCCUAGUGUAGCGGUGAAAUGCGUAGAUAUUAGGAAGAAUACCGGUGGCGAAGGCGACUUGCUGGACACAAACUGACGCUGAGGAACGAAAGCGUGGGUAGCAAACAGG